ensembl:lncRNA
AGAGUCCAAACACAGUUCACAUAGGGGAGUGGUAAUGGGGAACACCUGGUGGUGAUUAGUCCUAAGCACAGGAUUAUGGGAAAUGGAGUUGGGAAUGGAAAUGGACACCAAAUGCAAGAGUCCUGAGUGGAGUGCCCUCUGCUGGAGUUCAUGGGCACUCCAGCUGAUGAUCGUGACAGAAAUAUUGUGUCUAAAAUCCCAAGGAUCCAAGAGCAUGAAAUAUGCAUCGAGAGUGAAGGUCUUUGGUCUGAAGAGGAGCUCAUAGAGUAAAAGAAGAUGUCUGAUGUUUACUGAUGCAUUCCUACGCAAAAGGAGAAGGCGGAUGUCCUAUUCCUUAUUUCAUUUUACAACAGUUCCAGUCCCAGAGAGCCAGAGCCAAUUAGGGGGCCUCAGCAAACUUCCAAAGGUACAUAACAGAGACUAGAACACUGCAUGACCGAUCUUAUGCUGUCUAGGCUUUAUACAAUCAUUCACCUCUGACAUAUUAACAUUAUUUGUCCUACUAUUUCUCUAUUAUUAGUUGUUGUUUUUUUUUUUUUAAUAAAAAAUAUAUCUACAGGUAUUCAUAAGACCGACCUCAUGUUAGUCUAAUCCAAGCAUUUUGCUUAUGCUGCACUAUUCACCGUAUUCUAUUAUUUUGGAGAAAGGUUACUGGAUUUGAUAUUAUUAUUAUUAUUAUUAUUAUUCAGUGCACAUAGGUGAGAAUAUUCCAGAGUGAAAUGCUCAGCCAUUUAUCUCCUAAGUGCAAUUUCAUUUUUCCAACUUGGAAAAAGUAGAUCCCUGAGCACUACCAUUGUGCUUGCAAAUGUUCAGGUUUUUCCCAUUAGGCCUGUUUGUUCCAUUUACAACACAUUUCCACAAACAAGUUAUUUA